ACGCUGGAGCCCAUUUGGGUGUCUCUCUGCUCUUGCCCACAGGCUGAGAGAGUCAGAACUACCCAGAAAAACGCUGUGUGCACCAACCUGGCCUCCCUGCGCUCCUUACAAAAACAGCACUUGCUCUGUGUGCUGUGGGCUCUUAUAAAGGACCAUAUCUAUUAUUGCUGACAUUGAUUUGUCUGGCUUGGGCAGCAGAGAACCAAUAAUUACUGAGAGUUUUAAUCAAUCCCACAUCAAUUCAGCUGCAGUUCAAUUUGUGAUCUGCCUUGGCAGUGACACAGGAUGGGGGGCUGUGUCUGAAAAUGAUUAGAAAAUCAAUAAGUAACUCAGCCAAUAAUUCUGUCUGUGCGCUCAGAGAUGACACGUCCCACCCCGUUCCAUUGGGGAAGCCAGCAUGGAAAUUGGAUUUUCUGGUGGCUCCAGGGAAUCAAAGGGAUCCCAGCACCCACAAGCUCCAGGGAUUCCCUUGUUACAUCAGCAUGGCUCACGAUGCAGGCACUGAGCACCCUGAUCUAGCUGUGUCCCGUUCACUGCAGGGAGUUGGACCAGAUGGCUUUUUAAGGCCUCUUCCAACUCAAACGAUUCUGUGAUUAUGAUGGAACCAGGGGUUCCACUCCAGCCUGUCAGCCCGUGCUUCACAGGGGGAUAUGAGCAGCAAAAACAGGACCCUCGCAGUGGUGCUUGGUCCAGGCUGCAGAGAGGAAACAGGAGAUAACACGGAUCCUGCAGACAGAAUGUGACACACAGCCACAAAGCCGCAGCCCAGCUCCUGCCAAUGGGUUUGGGAAGGCAGAGCUGAGGUCAGCUUGGUGUGCGUUCUGCUGACGACACGGAGGGACAUCAGCCCACUGUCCUUGUUUGCACCAGGCAGAGCCCGAGGUCCUGCUCUUUGUCACUGCUGUCAGCAAAACAGACUUCAAGCAUACACAGGGAGCACAGAUGCUGAAUAAGAACGCCAUUUUUACCUGGCUUUCAGAGCAGCGUGCUUUGUUCCCUUUGGAAUGGUGUCACCAGGGUGUCAUGGAGCAGCAGUGGGUGCAGGAACGUGUGCUGUUGGGGACCCCGAGCCAUUGCAUUCCUGGCUCAAACCAAAGGGGAUCCCCCUGACCCACACUGUGACCCCAGCAGGACCUCACCAUGUGACAGGACAUCCCUGUGUGACACCACGGAGCCACCUCCUGCCAACCAGAGCCCCCAUCCUCAGCCAAGCCAGGGCAGUCGGACUGUGAGGCAGCCCCUUCCCAAGGUAAAGGCAGCCAGCAUCUGCUGCAAUCCGUACAAGACUGUUGCUUAGGAAAACAUCUAUCUGGAUUGUUUGUGUUAGUGAGCAGGGGCCCUUUCUUUUCUUUCUCUUUUACAACGAUCAUUAGCAGUGAGACGGGCAAUGGGGUCACUGGAAACAAAACGCAUGUCUCAUUACCGACGUGGUUCCUCCCGAGAGGAGCCAGCUCUGCCCCAGCACUGCCUGCU
rnacentral:lncRNA from 1 species